AUCAUUUUUAUUUAUCAUUUAUAGUACUAUAGGAUUUAAUUUGAUUGGGUUCAAUAAUUGAUAUAUCUAUUUUCAUAAAUUAUAUAAUUAGUGUGUCCAAACAAUAUAAACAAAGGAUACUCUUGCAGAUUUGUCUGUCCUCUAAAAUUGUUUUCUUUUUUCAAAAAGAAACAUAUGGAAAAUAUUUCAACUUGCUCCCUUCUCGUUGCUGCUGUUUUCUAGGUAAUAAAUACACACCCAACAUAUAUGUUUUUUGCUACUUAGAAUCCAUGAUGCUCAAAUUGGAAGAGACCAUUGAAACCUUGGAAGACUUGGAAAAAUAAAUUCACUGCCUCAGCCUAAAUGCUCAAUUGGUGACUGGCAAAAAGGAUUCACCUAAACAUCUCCCAUCAACUUCAUUGGUUGAUGAAUCAGGUGUAUUUGGCUUCUAUCAAACAUGGAAGUUGGAUCCUAACCAAGUUGGAUUUCAAAGAAGCUUGGAAUAAUGUCUUCAAACACAACCUACAUCUGAGGCUGGUUCCACAAUCCAACUAUCAUCUGAUAAUAUUACUUCAAUAUGGACAAAUGCGGCAGUUGUGUCGAAAGGUAGAGUUUACGGACUUGGAGUGCAACCUUCCUCAUGUCAUCCAUCACCAUUGUUAUCUAGUUCUUCUAAUACUUAAUAUUUGGAAGAAAUGAGAAGACAAAUUUUAGAGAUGACAGAAUGACUUCAAGCAUCUGAAUAACGACUGAAUACUUAUUAGACUUGAAUUUGAUGAUGCUUGAACUUUUAGACUCAAUUAUAUUGAUUGGAAUUUGAAUGGUUAGGAAUGUAUUUGAUUUUUGGUUUUA